UACGUAGGGUGCGAGCGUUAAUCGGAAUUACUGGGCGUAAAGCGUGCGCAGGCGGUUUUGUAAGCCAGAUGUGAAAUCCCCGGGCUCAACCUGGGAACUGCAUUUGUGACUGCAAGGCUAGAGUACGGCAGAGGGGGAUGGAAUUCCGCGUGUAGCAGUGAAAUGCGUAGAUAUGCGGAGGAACACCGAUGGCGAAGGCAAUCCCCUGGGCCUGUACUGACGCUCAUGCACGAAAGCGUGGGGAGCAAACAGG
rnacentral:rRNA from 1 species